rnacentral:tRNA from 1 species
GCAGUGUUAGUUUAACGGUAGAACAGGGCACUUCCAAUGCUCAGAUGAGGUUUCGAUUACCUUACACUGCUCA